rnacentral:rRNA from 1 species
GACGAACGCUGGCGGCGUGCCUAAUACAUGCAAGUAGAACGCACAGUUUAUACCGUAGCUUGCUACACCAUAGACUGUGAGUUGCGAACGGGUGAGUAACGCGUAGGUAACCUGCCUGGUAGCGGGGGAUAACUAUUGGAAACGAUAGCUAAUACCGCAUAAUAUUUAUUAUUGCAUGAUAAUUGAUUGAAAGAUGCUAUUGCAUCACUACCAGAUGGACCUGCGUUGUAUUAGCUAGUAGGUGAGGUAACGGCUCACCUAGGCGACGAUACAUAGCCGACCUGAGAGGGUGAUCGGCCACACUGGGACUGAGACACGGCCCAGACUCCUACGGGAGGCAGCAGUAGGGAAUCUUCGGCAAUGGACGAAAGUCUGACCGAGCAACGCCGCGUGAGUGAAGAAGGGUUUCGGAUCGUAAAGCUCUGUUGUAAGAGAAGAACGGGUGUGAGAGUGGAAAGUUCACACUGUGACGGUAGCUUACCAGAAAGGGACGGCUAACUACGUG